ACACGUAGGAGGCAAGCGUUAUUCGGAUUUACUGGGCGUAAAGCGCGUGCAGGCGGUUCGGUAAGUUGGAUGUGAAAGCUCCUGGCUUAACUGGGAGAGGUCGUUCAAUACUACCGAACUAGAGGAUGAGAGAGGGAGGUGGAAUUCCGAGUGUAGUGGUGGAAUGCGUAGAUAUUCGGAGGAACACCAGUGGCGAAAGCGGCCUCCUGGCUCAUAACUGACGCUCAGACGCGAAAGCUAGGGUAGC
rnacentral:rRNA from 1 species